GAUUGCCUCAGUAACGGCGAGUGAAGCAGCAACAGCUCAAAUUUGAAAUCUGGCCCGUCCCGGGUCCGAGUUGUAAUUUGUAGAGGGUGUUUCGGGCAAGGCGGCGGUCUAGGUCCCUUGGAACAGGGCGCCAUAGAGGGUGAGAGUCCCGUCUUCGACCGCCAGCCGCGUCCAUGUGAAACCCCUUCGACGAGUCGCGUUGUUUGGGAAUGCAGCGCAAAAUGGGUGGUAAAUUUCAUCUAAAGCUAAAUAUUGGCCAGAGACCGAUAGCGCACAAGUAGAGUGAUCGAAAGAUGAAAAGCACUUUGAAAAGAGAGUUAAACAGCAUGUGAAAUUGUUGAAAGGGAAGCGCUUGCAGCCAGACUUGUGGACGGUUAUUCAGCCGUUCUCCUUGAACGGUGCACUUCUCCGUCUCCAGGCCAGCAUCGGUUUCGGCAGCCAGUGAAAGGCUCCGGGAAUGUAUCGACCUUCCGGGGUUGACUUAUAGCCCGGGGUGCCAUGUGGCUCGCCGGGACCGAGGUACGCGCUCUGCACGGAUGCUGGCGUAAUGGCUGUAAGCGACCCGUCUUGAAACACGGACCAAGGAGUCUAACAUCUAUGCGAGUGUUCGGGUGUCAAACCCUUGCGCGUAAUGAAAGUGAACGGAGGUAGGAGCCUUCUCGGCGCACUAUCGACCGAUCCUGAUGUAUUCGGAUGGAUUUGAGUAAGAGCAUAGCUGUUGGGACCCGAAAGAUGGUGAACUAUGCGUGUAUAGGGUGAAGCCAGAGGAAACUCUGGUGGAGGCUCGCAGCGGUUCUGACGUGCAAAUCGAUCGUCAAAUACGCGUAUAGGGGCGAAAGACUAAUCGAACCAUUGAACACGAAGACCAGGUGGUUCUUCCCCGGGGGAAUUAUGAUCCCCUGUUGUUUAACCUACAGGCUGUAGGUGAUGCCGUUAGCGUGGCGGGAACUCUUAACGGAGAUCCGCAGCAACGUCCCCCGGAACGAUUUAUCCGACGGGAGGUCUUGUCCACAGACUAUGAAACGGCGGUUAAAAAGAGAGCCUCUCUUUAACGAAGAUAUAGCCGGAAGAAGAUCGAGCCGGAGCUCUUGAUGCUCUCUCGAUCUUCGAUUCGCUGGUAGCUGGUUCCUGCCGAAGUUUCCCUCAGGAUAGCAGUAACGUUUUCAGUUUUAUGAGGUAAAGCGAAUGAUUAGAGGCCUUGGGGUUGAAACAACCUUAACCUAUUCUCAAACUUUAAAUAUGUAAGAAGCCCUUGUUACUUCGUUGAACGUGGGCAUUUGAAUGUAUCGUUACUAGUGGGCCAUUUUUGGUAAGCAGAACUGGCGAUGCGGGAUGAACCGAACGUGAGGUUAAGGUGCCGGAAUACACGCUCAUCAGAUACCACUGUUCUUCUUGUGGUAUCGACGCCUGAGAUCAAAAAAGAUCUUGGGUAAAGUCUGACGUUAUCUCAACCGAGACGAUGUAAAGACGAAAUCUUUGCGCUGAAGGGGAUAGUUAGAGAAUAGCUGGCCCUCAACCGUGCGUAUGACACGGUCCACAGAUCAAGCAAGGAUUGGUGGUCCGCCCAGACGUGGCGUGGCCGCUGGAGAUAUGAUCGGCCUUGAGAUGCUCCAAAUCUCAGUGAUUAGUGCAAAAGGUGUUAGUUCAUCUAGACAGCCGGACGGUGGCCAUGGAAGUCGGAAUCCGCUUAGGAGUGUGUAACAACUCACCGGCCGAAUGAACUAGCCCUGAAAAUGGAUGGCGCUCAAGCGUGUUACCUAUACCUCGCCGUUAAAGUUUUAAGGAUGCUUUAACGAGUAGGCAGGCGUGGAGGUUUGUGACGAAGCCU
rnacentral:rRNA from 1 species